UACGUAGGUGGCAAGCGUUGUCCGGAUUUAUUGGGCGUAAAGAGCUCGUAGGCGGCUUGUCGCGUCGUCCGUGAAAACCCACAGCUCAACUGUGGGCUUGCGGUCGAUACGGGCAGGCUAGAGUUCGGUAGGGGAGACUGGAAUUCCUGGUGUAGCGGUGAAAUGCGCGGAUAUCAGGAGGAACACCGGUGGCGAAGGCGGGUCUCCGGGCCGAUACUGACGCUGAGGAGCGAAAGCGUGGGGAGCGAACAGG
rnacentral:rRNA from 1 species